UCGUGCUGAUCUAAUAAUCAUGUUCUCUUUAGUUUGCCGAGAAAAUAAUUAGGGGAGGCAAUAAACAUCAAAACCACACAGAAGGCAGUGAACAAGCUGAGGCUAGAUUUAGCCACUGCCCUCCUCCGAGAAACUGGUGUGUUAUUCAACCUGUGCCACUACUGUGGGAUGGAGGAGAAGGAUGAGUAACUAUGGAUCUGCUGUGACAUUUGUGGGAGAUGGUACCACCAUGAGUGCGUGCAGAGGCCUACACUGGAGGAGGACUACUCGUGCCUUGCGUGCACAUAAUCCAAAAAAAGUAAUUUGUUGUCAUUUGUUAAUUUGUCUCUAUUGCUAUAU